rnacentral:rRNA from 1 species
GACGAACGCUGGCGGCGUGCCUAAUACAUGCACGUCGAACGCAGUUGCGAACGGGUGAGUAACGCGUAGGUAACUGCCUCAUAGCGGGGGAUAACUAUUGGAAACGAUAGCUAAUACCGCAUACUGUGGGAUGGACCUGCGUUGUAUUAGCUAGUUGGUGCGGUAAAGGCUCACCAAGGCGAAGAUACAUAGCCGACCUGGGAGGGGGAUCGGCCACACCGGGAAUUAGACACGGCCCAGACUCCUACGGGAGGCAGCAGUAGGGAAUCGUCGGCAAUGGGCGGAAGUCUGACCCAGCAACGCCGCGUGAGUGAAGAAGGUUUUCGGAUCGUAAAGCUCUGUUUUUAGGGAAGCGGUACCUAACCAGAAAGGGACGGCUAACUACGUGCCAGCAGCCGCGGUAAUUC